rnacentral:rRNA from 1 species
UACGUAGGGACCAAGCGUUGUUCGGAUUUACUGGGCGUAAAGGGCGCGUAGGCGGCUUGACAAGUCACUUGUGAAAUCUCCGGGCUUAACUCGGAACGGCCAAGUGAAACUGUCAUGCUAGAGUGCAGAAGGGGCAAUCGGAAUUCUUGGUGUAGCGGUGAAAUGCGUAGAUAUCAAGAGGAACACCUGAGGUGAAGACGGGUUGCUGGGCUGAACCUGACGCUGAGAUGCGAAAGUGUGGGGAGCAAACGGG